GCUGGGCGCGGUGGUGCACGCCUAUAAUCCCAGUAGCUCGGGAGGCUGAGGCAGGAGGAUCACGAGUUCAAAGCCAGCCUCAGCAAAGUCGAGGUGCUGAGCAACUAACUCAGUGAGACCCUGACUCUA
rnacentral:sRNA from 1 species